AGCCGAAACGAGCCGACAGGCCCGUCACCGGGGCAAGGGCAAACCCGGUCUGAUGAUGGCAGCCCGAC
rnacentral:hammerhead_ribozyme from 1 species